rnacentral:rRNA from 1 species
AUUGAACGCUGGCGGCAUGCCUUACACAUGCAAGUCGAACGGUAACAGGUUAAGCUGACGAGUGGCGAACGGGUGAGUAAUACAUCGGGACGUGCCCAGUAGUGGGGGAUAGCCCGGCGAAAGCCGGAUUAAUACCGCAUACGACCUACGGGUGAAAGGGGGGGAUCGCAAGACCUCUCGCUAUUGGAGCGGCCGAUGUCAGAUGAGGGAGUUGGUGGGGUAAAAGCCUACCAAGCCGACGAUCUGUAGCUGGUCUGAGAGGACGACCAGCCACACUGGGACUGAGACACGGCCCAGACCCCUACGGGAGGCAGCAGUGGGGAAUUUUGGACAAUGGGCGCAAGCCUGAUCCAGCCAUGCCGCGUGCGGGAAGAAGGCCUUCGGGUUGUAAACCGCUUUUGUCAGGGAAGAAACGCUCUGGGUUAAUACCCUGGGGUAAUGACGGUACCUGAAGAAUAAGCACCGGCUAACUACGUGCCAGCAGCCGCCGCAG